GAUUGAACGCUGGCGGUAUGCUUAACACAUGCAAGUCGAACGGAAACGAUACUAGCUUGCUAGUACGCGUCGAGUGGCGGACGGGUGAGUAACGCGUAGGAAUCUGCCUGAUAGUGGGGGAUAGCCCGAAGAAAUUCGGAUUAAUACCGCAUAAUCUAUUCGUAGUAAAGUGGGGGACUUUCGAGCCUCACGCUAUCAGAUGAGCCUGCGUAAGAUUAGCUUGUUGGUAGGGUAAAAGCCUACCAAGGCGACGAUCUUUAGCUGGUCUGAGAGGAUGAUCAGCCACAUCGGGACUGAGACACGGCCCGAACUCCUACGGGAGGCAGCAGUGGGGAAUAUUGGACAAUGGGGGCAACCCUGAUCCAGCAAUACCGCGUGUGUGAAGAAGGCCUGAGGGUUGUAAAGCACUUUCAAUUGUGAAGAAAAGUUAGCGGUUAAUAACCGUUAGCCUUGACGUUAACUUUAGAAGAAGCACCGGCUAACUCCGUGCCAGCAGCCGCGGUAAUACGGAGGGUGCAAGCGUUAAUCGGAAUUACUGGGCGUAAAGCGUGCGUACGCGGUUUAUUAAGUCAGAUGUGAAAGCCCCCAGGGCUUAACCUGGGAACUGCAUUUGAAACUGGGUCAACUAGAGUAUGGUAGAGGAAAGUGGAAUUUCUGGUGUAGCGGUGAAAUGCGUAGAUAUCAGAAGGGAACAUCAAUGGCGAAGGCAGCUUUCUGGAACAAUACUGACGCUGAGGUACGAAAGCGUGGGUAGCAAACAGGAUUAGAUACCCUGGUAGUUCCACGCCGUAAACGAUGAUAACUAGCCGUUGGGGGGAUUUACCCUUUAGUGGCGAAGCUAACGCGUUAAGUUAUCCGCCUGGGGAGUACGGCCGCAAGGUUAAAACUCAAAGGAAUUGACGGGGACCCGCACAAGCGGUGGAGCAUGUGGUUUAAUUCGAUGCAACGCGAAGAACCUUACCUGGUCUUGACAUCCUGCGAACUUUCUAGAAAUAGAUUGGUGCCUUCGGGAACGCAGUGACAGGUGCUGCAUGGCUGUCGUCAGCUCGUGUCGUGAGAUGUUGGGUUAAGUCCCGUAACGAGCGCAACCCCUAUCCUUAUUUGCCAGCACAUCAUGGUGGGAACUAUAAGGAGACUGCCGGUGAUAAACCGGAGGAAGGCGGGGACGACGUCAAGUCAUCAUGGCCCUUACGACCAGGGCUACACACGUGCUACAAUGGGAAGGACAAAGAGCCGCGAAGCCGCGAGGUGUAGCUAAUCUCAUAAACCUUUUCGUAGUCCGGAUUGGAGUCUGCAACUCGACUCCAUGAAGUCGGAAUCGCUAGUAAUCGUAGAUCAGAAUGCUACGGUGAAUACGUUCCCGGGUCUUGUACACACCGC
rnacentral:rRNA from 1 species